AUGCUUAACACAUGCAAGUCGAACGGAAACGACAACAUUGAUUCUUCGGAGGAUUUGUUGGGCGUCGAGCGGCGGACGGGUGAGUAAUGCCUAGGAAAUUGCCUUGAUGUGGGGGAUAACCAUUGGAAACGAUGGCUAAUACCGCAUAAUGCCUACGGGCCAAAGAGGGGGAUCUUCGGACCUCUCGCGUCAAGAUAUGCCUAGGUGGGAUUAGCUAGUUGGUGAGGUAAUGGCUCACCAAGGCGACGAUCCCUAGCUGGUCUGAGAGGAUGAUCAGCCACACUGGGACUGAGACACGGUCCAGACUCCUACGGGAGGCAGCAGUGGGGAAUAUUGCACAAUGGGCGAAAGCCUGAUGCAGCCAUGCCGCGUGUAUGAAGAAGGCCUUCGGGUUGUAAAGUACUUUCAGUUGUGAGGAAGGGUGUGUAGUUAAUAGCUGCGCAUCUUGACGUUAGCAACAGAAGAAGCACCGGCUAACUCCGUGCCAGCAGCCGCGGUAAUACGGAGGGUGCGAGCGUUAAUCGGAAUUACUGGGCGUAAAGCGCAUGCAGGUGGUUCAUUAAGUCAGAUGUGAAAGCCCGGGGCUCAACCUCGGAACUGCAUUUGAAACUGGUGAACUAGAGUGCUGUAGAGGGGGGUAGAAUUUCAGGUGUAGCGGUGAAAUGCGUAGAGAUCGGAAGGAACACCAGUGG
rnacentral:rRNA from 1 species